rnacentral:rRNA from 1 species
CGCGUAGGCGGACACUUAAGUCAGGGGUGAAAUCCCGGGGCUCAACCUCGGAACUGCCUUUGAUACUGGGUGUCUUGAGUGUGAGAGAGGUGUGUGGAACUCCGAGUGUAGAGGUGAAAUUCGUAGAUAUUCGGAAGAACACCAGUGGCGAAGGCGACACACUGGCUCAUUACUGACGCUGAGGCGCGAAAGCGUGGGGAGCAAAC